GACGAACGCUGGCGGCGUGCUUAACACAUGCAAGUCGAGCGGAGCGGCGAACGGGUGAGUAACGCGUGAGUAACUGCCCCCCUCUCUGGGAUAACAGUUGGAAACGGCUGCUAAUACCGGAUAGUGGGGGAUGACUCGCGUCCUAUCAGCUUGGUGGUGGGGUAGUGGCCUACCAAGGCGACGACGGGUAGCCGGCCUGAGAGGGCGACCGGCCACAGUGGGCUGAGAUACGACCCAAACUGCGACGGGAGGCAGCGGUGGGGGAUAGUGCACAAUGGGGGGCACCCGGAUGCAGGAACGCCGCGUGCGGGAUGGCGGCCUUCGGGUUGUAAACCGCUUUCAGCCAUGACGCGGUAGUGGCAGAGGAAGCACCGGCUAACUACGUGCCAGCCGCCGCGGUAAUUC
rnacentral:rRNA from 1 species